rnacentral:rRNA from 1 species
AACGAACGCUGGCGGCAUGCCUAACACAUGCAAGUCGAACGGGAUCCUAGCUUGCUAGGUGAGAGUGGCGGACGGGUGAGUAACACGUGGGAAUCUGCCUUUUGGUUCGGGAUAACCGCGGGAAACUGCGGCUAAUACCGAAUGCCCUCGAGAGAGGAAAGAUUUAUCGCCAGAAGAGGAGCCCGCGUCCGAUUAGGUAGUUGGUGGGGUAAAGGCCUACCAAGCCGACGAUCGGUAGCUGGUCUGAGAGGAUGAUCAGCCACACUGGGACUGAGAUACGGCCCAGACUCCUACGGGAGGCAGCAGUGGGGAAUAUUGGACAAUGGGGGCAACCCUGAUCCAGCAAUGCCGCGUGAGUGAUGAAGGCCUUAGGGUGUAAGACUCUUUGCCAGGGAAGAUGAUGACUGUACCUGG